rnacentral:lncRNA from 1 species
CAAGAAAAACGGGGCCUGGAAAGGCCGUUGUGAGGAAUGAGCUGGGCCUAAAGAGGCCACUGGCAGGCAGGAGCUGGGACUGCCAAAGCGGCCGAAAGGCAGGAGCUUUGGACUGGGGAGGCCGCAGUGAGGCGAGAGCUAGCUGGGCGUGGAGAGUCCACUGUGAGGCUGAGGCUGGGCCUGUGCAGGCCUUCGAGAGGCAGGAAGCCAGGCCUGCAAAGGCCGACUGGAGGUCAAGUUCUGGGCCUGAAGAGGCCACCAAAAGUCAAAAGCGGGGCCUGGGAAGGCCACUGAGAGCCACGAGCUGGGCUGGGCCGAAAGAGGCCACUGGGAGGCAGGAGCUUUGGACUCAGGAGGCUGUAGUGAGGCGAGAGCUAGCUGGGCGUGGAGAGUCCGCUGUGAGGCUGAGGCUGGGCCUGUGCAGGCCUUCAGGAGGCAGGAGGCCGGGAAGGCCGCCGGGAGGCAUGAGCUGGGCUGGGCCAAAAGAGGCCACUGGGAGGCAGGAGGAGCUGGGCCUGGAGAGGCUGACUCGAGGAACUUUUGCACCCGGAGCGGCCGCCGAGAGGCCGGAGCUGGGCCUGGGGAGGCCGACUUGAGGACGACUUGGGCCUGCAGAGGGCGCCGGGAGGCUGGAGCUGGCCCUGGACAGGCCGACUUGACGACAGUCUGGGCCUGCAGAGGAUGCAAAGCAGCAAACGCUAGGCCUGGAAAGGCUGCCCUGAGGCACGGGCUUGGCCUACAGAGGCCACUGGGAGGCAGGGGCUGGGCCCGUUGAGGCCACCAGAGGCAUGAGCUGAGCCUCAACAGGCCAGUGUGAGGCAGGAGCUGACACUUGGGCAGGUUGCAAGAGGCAUGAGUUGGGCGAAAAGAGGCCACCGUGAGGGAGGAGCUGGGCCUGUACAAGUUGCCGAAAGGCAGGAGCAGCUUUGGACUGGAGAGGCAGCAGACAGGGAAGAGCUGGGCGUGGAGUGUCUGCUGUGAGGCAGAGGCUGGGCCUGUACAUGCCCUUGGGAAGCAGGAGGCUGGGCCUGGAGAGGCCGACUUGAGGAAGUUUUGCUCCUGGAGAGGCCACUUAGAGGCAAGAGCUGGGUGUGAAGAGGCUGACUUGAGGUCGAUUUUGGCCUGCAGAAGCCACCGGUAGCUAGGAGUUGGCCCUGGAGAGGCUGACUUGAGGACAGUUUUGGCCUGUAGAGGCCACUGGGAGGGAGAGCUUGGUCUGGAGAGGUCAACUUGAGGAGAUUUUGGGCCUUCAUAGGCCACCAGGAGGCAGCAGUUGGGACUAGAGAGGCUGACUUGAGGAAGUUUUGGGCCUGGAGAUGACGUCCUGGGACAGGAGCUGGGCCUGGAGAGGCCACCGUGAGGCAAGAGCUGGAUGUAGACAGGCCAGUGUGAGGCAAGACCUGGGCCUGUCUA